GGAUGGGUGAUGUUUGAUGGUUGGUGCUACCGGGUCGAGGAGAGGGCCUAUUGUGAUGGUUUUCUGAGUUCUGGGGCGGAAAGGUCUGGAGUCUUACAGAGAUGAACUGGGGAAAGAGAUAGCUCAACUGUGGGGUUCUCAGCUCUGGUGUGCCCAGGAGGACGAACCUGUAGCUCAGGACGCAGGUGAUUGAAAUGUGGAGUCCUAACUUUGAAGAGCAGAGCCUUUAACCAACCCCUGUAGUUGGAGGCCACUUGGAAGAAUGUGACCUUUGAAGUGAGACUGCAGCCUUGGCCAUGUCCUUUAGCCUUUCAGUUCUCUCUGACGUCAUUUGGUGAGUGCUGGUAGCUGAUAGAAGAUGGAUACAGUGAGUGACUUCCAUCUCUCAAGGUUCGCUAUUCCCCACUCACCCUCUCCAUCCACGCAACUAGUCCUGGUUCGACAGAGCCUGAGGCUACACGUGCAAUGACAGAUAACACACUUGACUAAGGAUAGAAUACUGACGACUCGAACUGGAACUCCAGUGAAGCAGCCACUGAGGCUCUCGCAGCUUGGCUCUAGAGAAGAGGCAGGAGACAUGGAAGAACCACAUAGCCAGAGGGAGGAAUUUGGAUUUGAAGCAAUGCUAAAUUUUCUCCCACACAUUUCAGGACUAUGACAAGGAAAUGAUGAACCAACUCAAGGAGUAGGAGCAAACUCAUGUCUCCUUCUGUUAUUUUAGGAGGAAGCUGAGGCAGGAGAAUUGCUGUAAAUCAAGCUACAUAAUAGUCACAAUGAGGCUUUGUCACAAACAAACAAAGCAACUUGAUAGCAAUAGCGAGCAUCCUUAGAAGGCUGCUCAGUGCUGAUCCAGAAGUCCCUCUGUAAACUAUCCUCGACUCCCCCAUUUCCAUUUCUCUUUCUGAAGGGACACCCCAGAGUGUGGAUGGAAAUAGACUCUUGGAACUGCAUUGAACCCCAGACUUUUUUUUUCUUUUUUUUUUUUUUUUUUUUUUUUGAGAGGGUUUCUCUGUGUAGCCCUGGCUGUCCUGGAACUCACUGUAGACCAGGCUGGACUGGAACUCAGAAAUCCGCCUGCCUCUGCCUCCCAAGUGCUGGGAUUAAAGACAAGCGCCACCACUGCCCGGCUAACCCCAGACCUUUCAAAGCACCCAUAACCGUGGGACAGCAGGGACAAGAAGACUCCAUUGCUUUUUGGGUUUCGCCCAGUUGUCAUCAUACCUCAAUAAAGUUUCUUCUCAGCAUUUAUUUAUUCCUCCACAAUCUGUUCUCUCUUGACAAAGAGAAGACCAGGUUCUGGUAGCAAAGGACUUUGCUGAGGAAUAACCUCCCACCAUGGUGCUGAGUUCUCUUCUGCUGAGAUGAUUUAGACCUUAGAGAUGAGCUUUGGAUUUGUCACCAGAUAAGGACGUUAACCAGCUUGAUGCAGUCACCUCACUAAUGCACAGAGCUGGUUGGUGGCUAGACACAGGGCUGCACACGUGCUGAAGAAGCCGGCUCAGUCUGGUAUGGGGCUCCUGCCCGUGAGUGCUGAGACAUCUCAUCUCAGGCCUUGGGAUGGCUGCAGUGACUUCUGGGGUUGCAGAUGAGUUCUCUAGUUUGAAUGCCAGCCACAAAGGUGACCGUUUGCAGUGAAUUGCUGAUGUCUCACCACGAUAAAAGUGGGGUUUCCCUCCUGUGGCAGGAACCUGGGAUCAGUCAAGACAUCUGUCCAGCUUAGGAAUUCGCAAACCAUGAGUCACUGGAGCUCGGAAAGUAAGCAGACGAAGCCGAGGCAGAGGCUGGAACUGACACCUGUCCGCCAUUGUGGCUGGGUGACUUCAAGAAGGCUCCAUCAUCAUAAGCGCACAGCGCUGUUUCCUUGUGUGUCUCUGGUUCCCGUCUCCGCCCCUCUUCCAGGGCUCUUGCCAUAUUCUGUUUGAUCAUAUUAUUUCACUUUACAAAGCAUCCCUGUGGAUGGUCCCUGAGGGGGCAAAAAUGGCCCCAUUUUCACCUUCAAGUUUAGCGACCUCCAAGGAUUGUGAACUUGGUAGGCCUUGACCUGAGAUAUGCAGGCGCCAGAAUAUGUGUGUAAAGCUGAUUUGAGAAGACAGGAGAACUGGAGGUGUGGGUCAGCUGAUACUGCUUGCCUACAGAUGGAAGAGCCCUGGGUUCCAUCCUCAGCACCGGAUAGACCUGACGUAGUCAGGCAUGGACACUUGUGAUCCCAGGACUCAGGAGGUGGAGGUAGGAUCAGAAGAUUGCAUAGAAACAGUGUGAGCCUGCUCACGGUCUAGGGUGAGCCUGCUCACGGUCUACAGUGACUGAUGCUCCUUUGGGUCUAACUCAGUCAGAACCUCUCAACAGGAUUUGACCUAAGAGAUUCUAAAAAGUACGCCAGAAAAUGGGGGAGCUGUGAUAUGGACUCUGCUCGGCCCAGCAGCUUCCUAGCCUUGUCCAUCAUUCUCGGGUCGGCAGGGAAUAAUGACACAGCAUCCAGCUUUGGAAUCUCGGCUGUGGGCACUUGGACUCUGGCUCCACCCUCCUUAGCUUUGUGGCCCUGGGCGAGCACAGUGACUUUCUGUGCUGUCCUUUUUCUUUAUCACAUGCAGCCAACUGUAAUGCACUUCCCCCCUGGCCCUAUGACUAAGCAGAUGAGUUUGUAAUGGACAGUGUUUCAAACAGACCUGGCAAAUGCCAGGCUCUAAAGACAACUUGGAAUGGGUCUAAGAGGAGCCGCUGAAGAACUUUUCUCCAAAGUCCAACUUCUUUCCUAAGUUGUCUCCCUGGUGAUCAAACGAUUUUUAGCAUACACAGAAGCAUGGACACGUGUGUGUAUGUAACUUUAUAUUCUAUUCAAGUUUUUAAAAACAACAAGGCCAUAUAACCCAGAAUGGCCUCCAAUGUGUGGCCUUCCCACUUCAGCCUUCCCAGAGCUGCCACACCCACCCUCUUUUGCUGUGGAUUAUCUGAAGACCAGUCAGAGGAUUGUGUCAAAUUCCAGGGGAUUAAACCUCAUCAGCUUAAUCACCAUGAGGGCAAUGGGGGAGGGGCUGAGACUGGCUGCAGAGUGGAUGUUGAGUCUGGGUUCGCCUGACAGCCCCCGAAGUGAGUCAGACCAAGGAAUGCAAGCUCGUUGAGUUAUUGUCACACCCUGCGCUGUUUAUGGGUAGUUUAGGUUCAGAAUGCCCUGUGCCUCCUGGCCAGCUUCUCGUUGAUUGAACAGGCUGAUUACCUUGGUGUGGUAGCGCUCAGGCCCAGUGUGUCAGUUGUCAAGCAGAGUGAAGGAUGCACUUCAGGGACCUGGUUCCUUUUGAUGUUAGAAAAAGCUUGGGGGGAAAAUAACCGAUUUGGUUUGUGCUGUUUCCUUGAUCCACAUAUAAAGUCGUCUAUAAGAAGAUUUUGGAGUGGAGACCUGGCUGUGACAUGUUCGGUGGGUAAAGCACCCACUGUGCAAACCUGAGGACCUGGGUUUGAUCCUGUGUCAACUGGAGCAGAAAACUGAUACCACAAGGUUGUCUUCUGACUUCCACAUGGUGCUCCCCUGUCGUGUGUGUGUGUGUGUGUGUGUGUGUGUGUGUGUGUGUGUGUGUGUGUGAGCACACACUAAAAAAUUAAAUUUUAAAAUAGAUACAAUUUCCUGGGGGCUGGAGAGAUGGCUUAGCGGUUAAGAGCACUGACUGUUCUUCCAAAGGUCCUAAGUUCAAAUCCCAGCAACCACAUGGUGGCUAACAACCAUCUGUAAUGAGAUCAGAUGCCCUCUUCUGGGGUGUCUGAAGACAGCUACAGUGUACUUACAUAUAAUAAAUAAAUAAAUCUUUAAAAAAAAUAGAUACAAUUUCCUAAAAAUGCUAAAGAUAAAUUAAAUCUCGAUUAGAUAGUUUUGGAGAAAAAUGUAAUAGUUUUUGUUGAGGUGACUCAAAUUAGAUGAUAAAUAUUGCAGUGAUACUUACACAUAAGUAUCCAGUAUUGAAAACACUUAGCUGGGCAGUGGUGGCUCACUCCUUUAAUCCCAGCACUCUGGGAGGCAGAGGCAGGCAGAUUUCUGAGUUCGAGGCCAGCCUGGUCUACAGAGUAAGUCCCAGGACAGCCAGGGCUACACAGAGAAACCCUGUCUCGAAAAAAAACCAAACCCAAAAACAAACAAACAAACAAACAAACAAAACACUCAUGAAACUCACCCACACACACAUGUAAUGAAACCCAUACACACAUGUACAUACACAUGUAUACUCACACAUGUAUACAUACACAUGCACACACUUGUAUACACAUGUACAUACAUGCACAAAACAUACACAUAUAUGUACACACAUAUGCAUAUACGUGCACAUAUGCACACAUGUAUGCGCAUACACACAUGUAUACACAUAUGCAUGCACGUGCACACACAUACACACAUACCCUUGUCCCAUACUUACUAUCAGAUAAAAAAAGUAUCAGACAGGUGAUGUCUCAGUCACCAAACAUUUCUCUUCUUGACAUCAUCCUUAAUAACAGUAAUAAAAAUCUACUGUUUCCCACUAUUAAUUCUAAAGAAAACAGUAAAAUGUGCAUUAAAUAUGUGCAUUGCAAAUCCUUUCCUACCCAAAUCCAUGUGAUCAAGCUAUAUUAAAGCUACUUAAAAUCCCUUUGGAGACCUAUAUAUUGUUUUUAUCUUAUUUUUAAUUAACCAGACAGUAAACAGUUUUACUGAGCAACUUAUUUUCAGUGCUAGACAGUUGGACUGAGUGAUAAGGCAAAGUCCUGUUCCCACGUGGGAAUAUAGGACAAAGGGGAAGUCCUAGAGACGCCUCCAAAGACCAAGCAGUAAGCAGCGCUGUGCAGUUUGUGCUGAAAAAUCUUUAUUCAUAAAAGGGAACAGUUUCUUCUCAUUUGGAUUUAUGGAGAUUUGAGCUGGUGCUUGAAGGCCCCCAGGGCAGGUUUGGAUGGGCAGUGGGCGGCAUUCCACGCAGUAAAGGCAGCAGCUACAGAGGCCUCUGGGUGGGAGAACUCAAGACAGCUUGUCCAGGGUGGAAUCUGAGUGGGGAAUUGACAGAGCAAUGAGCAGAUGGGCCAGCGCCGCCAGCCAACAUAGAGGCCUGUGAAUACCUUCACCUGAGUUAAUGGCUUUACCUAGCACCCUGCAGGGUACGCAUCCCCCAUCUCCGGCAUCCACCUGCCUCCUUCAUGAUGCUGUCCUUAUUUCUGUAUUCCCUUUGUAACUUACAAAUGCAGUAAGUUGAUUCACUUUUUAAAAAUCUUGUUUCACACACAGGGUCUUUUUAAGUAGUAGAGGCUGGCCUUGAACUUGUGACCCUCCUUCAGUGACCUGAGUGUGGGAUAACAGGCAUGCACCAUCAUUCUUGGCUUUUGGCUUUGGCUUUGUUCUCUCUCUCUCUCUCUCUCUCUCUCUC